GAUGAACGCUGGCGGCGUGCCUAAUACAUGCAAGUCGAGCGAACAGACGAGGAGCUUGCUCCUCUGACGUUAGCGGCGGACGGGUGAGUAACACGUGGAUAACCUACCUAUAAGACUGGGAUAACUUCGGGAAACCGGAGCUAAUACCGGAUAACAUGUUGAACCGCAUGGUUCAACAGUGAAAGACGGUCUUGCUGUCACUUAUAGAUGGAUCCGCGCCGCAUUAGCUAGUUGGUAAGGUAACGGCUUACCAAGGCAACGAUGCGUAGCCGACCUGAGAGGGUGAUCGGCCACACUGGAACUGAGACACGGUCCAGACUCCUACGGGAGGCAGCAGCAGGGAAUCUUCCGCAAUGGGCGAAAGCCUGACGGAGCAACGCCGCGUGAGUGAAGAAGGUCUUCGGAUCGUAAAACUCUGUUAUUAGGGAAGAACAAAUGUGUAAGUAACUAUGCACGUCUUGACGGUACCUAAUCAGAAAGCCACGGCUAACUACGUG
rnacentral:rRNA from 1 species